rnacentral:tRNA from 1 species
AAGACUUUAAGUUAAGUAAACUAUUAGCCUUCAAAGUUGAAAAUGAAGGGUAUUAAAUCAAGUCUUA